AGUGAACGCUGGCGGUAGGCCUAACACAUGCAAGUAGAACGGCAGCACAGUAAGAGCUUGCUCUUACGGGUGGCGAGUGGCGGACGGGUGAGGAAUACAUCGGAAUCUACUUUUUCGUGGGGGAUAACGUAGGGAAACUUACGCUAAUACCGCAUACGACCUACGGGUGAAAGCAGGGGAUCUUCGGACCUUGCGCGAUUGAAUGAGCCGAUGUCGGAUUAGCUAGUUGGCGGGGUAAAGGCCCACCAAGGCGACGAUCCGUAGCUGGUCUGAGAGGAUGAUCAGCCACACUGGAACUGAGACACGGUCCAGACUCCUACGGGAGGCAGCAGUGGGGAAUAUUGGACAAUGGGCGCAAGCCUGAUCCAGCCAUACCGCGUGGGUGAAGAAGGCCUUCGGGUUGUAAAGCCCAUUUGUUGGGAAAGAAAAGCAGCAGGUUAAUACCCCGCUGUUCUGACGGUACCCAAAGAAUAAGCACCGGCUAACUUCGUG
rnacentral:rRNA from 1 species